rnacentral:rRNA from 1 species
AAUGAACGCUGGCGGCGCGCCUAAUACAUGCAAGUCGAGCGAGAAGACGUAGCAAUACGUUUGUAAAGCGGCGAACGGGUGAGGAAUACAUGGGUAACCUACCCUAGAGUGGGGAAGUAACUAGCCGAAGGUUAGCUAAUACCGCGUACGCUUCUUGGACUUCGGUUCAGGGAGGAAAGACGCUACCGAGGGUAGCGCGCUCUUGGAUGGGCGUCAUGUCCUAUCAGCUUGUUGGUGAGGUAACGGCUCACCAAGGCUUCGACGGGUAGCUGGUCUGAGAGGACGAUCAGCCACACUGGCACUGCGACACGGGCC